UGUGCUAUACUAGUAGGGUUGAAUAAAGCAACCCUUGGUGUUUAGCUUCUUUCACCAAGCAUAUUACACGCGGGCAACCGCCAAAGGAGAAAAGAUG
rnacentral:ncRNA from 2 species